rnacentral:rRNA from 1 species
CAGUCGCCGCGGUAAUACGAAGGGUGCAAGCGUUAAUCGGAAUUACUGGGCGUAAAGCGUGCGUAGGCGGUGAGUUAAGUCUGCUGUGAAAUCCCCGGGCUCAACCUGGGAAUGGCAGUGGAUACUGGCUCGCUAGAGUGUGUCAGAGGAUGGUGGAAUUCCCAGUGUAGCGGUGAAAUGCGUAGAGAUCGGGAGGAACAUCAGUGGCGAAGGCGGCCAUCUGGGACAACACUGACGCUGAGGCACGAAAGCGUGGGGAGCAAACAGGAUUAGAUACCCCCGUAGUCCCUGUCUCUUAUAC